rnacentral:snRNA from 1 species
AUACUUGCCUGGAAGGGGAUAUAUACCAUGAUCACACAGGUGAUUUUCCAGGGUGAGGCUUAUCCAUUGCACUAAGGAAGUGCUGACCCCUGAAAUUUCCCCAAAUGUGGGAAACUUGACUGCAUAAUUUGUGGUAGAGGGGGAAUGUGUUUGCACUUUCCCCGU